CAAAUUAUAAAAGGCAGCAUCCAGUCAAAGGUUAUACAACAAUGGAAAUUUCAUUUUUUAUUUGUCUAACUGCCCGUCGUUAUAACUUUAAUUUUUGCCAAAACCCAUUGUCUUCGUCUUUGACUGAAUUGCAUAAAACGGAUUCCAAACACUUCAGAAAUUCACUGGCUUCACACUUACCCUGAACCUCAACCGAUACGUUUCGAUCUUAAUUAAAAUUGGUUUCCCAUGUCACCCCUUCCACAAUGGACAGGGCUGUUCAGUCUCAUCAUUUUAAUAAUGAUGGCAUCGUCACCAACCCUGGUCUCCUCGUUAUCUAUUGGAAAUGCUGAGUUUUCCUACGAUCAAGGCAGCUCUUCUAUGAUUGACUCUGGAGCAAAUCGGUAUCGUCGAAAUUUGGGAAAUUUAGUAGGUGGUGGGACUGGGGGUGGAUCUUCAGGAGGGGGAUCCGGAAGUGGGGGUGGAUCUUCCGGAGGUAGUUCCGGGGGUGGAGGAGGAAAUUUGGGAAGUAUGCUGGGUGGUGGUUGUUGAGCCGUUUAAUAAUGGGCAAAUGGAGUAACUAAUUAAUUUUGGUUACAAUACACAAACAAUAAAUCUUAACAGAAUAAAAUAAAU